rnacentral:rRNA from 1 species
CAGCCGCCGCGGGAAUACGUAGGGUGCAAGCGUUAAUCGGAAUUACUGGGCGUAAAGCGUGCGCAGGCGGUCCGCUAAGACAGAUGUGAAAUCCCCGGGCUUAACCUGGGAACUGCAUUUGUGACUGGCGGGCUAGAGUAUGGCAGAGGGGGAUGGAAUUCCGCGUGUAGCAGUGAAAUGCGUAGAUAUGCGGAGGAACACCGAUGGCGAAGGCAAUCCCCUGGGCCUGUACUGACGCUCAUGCACGAAAGCGUGGGGAGCAAACAGGAUUAGAUACCCGUGUAGUCCCUGUCUCUUAUAC